rnacentral:rRNA from 1 species
UACGUAGGGUGCGAGCGUUAAUCGGAAUUACUGGGCGUAAAGCGUGCGCAGGCGGUUCGUUAAGACAGAUGUGAAAUCCCCGGGCUUAACCUGGGAACUGCAUUUGUGACUGGCGAGCUAGAGUAUGGCAGAGGGGUAGAAUUCCACGUGUAGCAGUGAAAUGCGUAGAGAUGUGGAGGAAUACCGAUGGCGAAGGCAGCCCCCUGGGCCCAAUACUGACGCUCAUGCACGAA